rnacentral:rRNA from 1 species
GAAGCGGCAACAGCUCAAAUUUGAAAUCUGGCCUCGUCGGGGUCCGAGUUGUAAUUUGUAGAGGGUGUUUCGGGCGCGAUGCCGGUCUAAGUUCCUUGGAACAGGACGUCGCAGAGGGUGAGAAUCCCGUACGCGGCCGGCGAUCAAGCCUGUGUGAAGCCCCUUCGACGAGUCGAGUUGUUUGGGAAUGCAGCUCAAAAUGGGUGGUAAAUUUCAUCUAAAGCUAAAUAUUGGCCAGAGACCGAUAGCGGACAAGUAGAGUGAUCGAAAGAUGAAAAGCACUUUGGAAAGAGAGUCAAACAGUACGUGAAAUUGUUGAAAGGGAAGCGCUUGCAAUCAGACCGGUCCGGAGGCGAUCAGCCGUCUGCUCGUUCAGCGGUGCACUCGCCUGCGAUCCGGCCAGCAUCGGUUUGGGCGGUGGGAUAAAAGUCCCGGGAAUGUAGCUUCUCUCGGGGAGUCUUAUAGCCCGGGUCGCAAUGCCGCCCGCCCGGACCGAGGACCGCGCUUCGGCUAAGAUGCUGGCGUAAUGGUUGCAAGCGACCCGUCUUGAAACAC